rnacentral:rRNA from 1 species
GGGCAAAUAGACAGCGAGGGGGGGCAUGGGGCUACCAUGCAGUCGUACGAGAACGCUUCAGCUUGCUGAAGCUAGUAAAGUGGCGCACGGGCGCAUUAACGCGUGGGUAAUCUACCUCCGAAUUGGGGAUAACGUUGCGAAAGUGACGCUAAUACCGGAUAAUAUCUUAAGGGCUUCGGUCCUUUUGAUCAAAGGUGGCCUCUCCUUGGAAGCUAUUGUUUGGAGAUGAGCCCGCGUCCCAUUAGCUAGUUGGUGGGGUAAUGGCCUACCAAGGCGGCGAUGGGUAGCUGGUCUGAGAGGAUGAUCAGCCACACUGGAACUGACACACGGUCCAGACUCCUACGGGAGGCAGCAGUGAGGAAUUUUGCGCAAUGGGGGAAACCCUGACGCAGCAACGCCGCGUGAGUGAUGAAGGCUUUCGGGUCGUAAAGCUCUGUCAAGUGGGAAGAAGUGCUGUGAGGUUAAUACCCUCAUGGUUUGACGGUACCACUGAAGGAAGCACCGGCUAACUCCGUGCCAGCAGCCGCGGUAAUACGGGGGGUGCAAGCGUUAUUCGGAUUUACUGGGCGUAAAGGGCGCGCAGGCGGCCGUUUAAGUCAGAUGUGAAAGCCCGGGGCUCAACCCCGGAAGUGCAUUUGAUACUAUUCGGCUUGAGUAUGGGAGAGGGAAGUGGAAUUCCUGGUGUAGAGGUGAAAUUCGUAGAUAUCAGGAGGAACACCGGUGGCGAAGGCGACUUCCUGGACAAAUACUGUCCCUGAAGGCGCGAAGGGUGGGGAGCCAACAGGAUUAAAAACCCUUGGUAGUCCACGCAGUAAACGGGGAAUCCUAGGUGUAACGGGUAUUGACCCCUGCUGUGCCCGAGCUAAACCCUUAAGUGGUCCGCCUGGGGGAUACGGCCGCAAGGUUAAAACCCAA